rnacentral:rRNA from 1 species
GUGGGGAAUCUUGCGCAAUGGGCGAAAGCCUGACGCAGCCAUGCCGCGUGAAUGAUGAAGGUCUUAGGAUUGUAAAAUUCUUUCACCGGGGACAAUAAUGACGGUACCCGGAGAAGAAGCUCCGGCUAACUUCGUGCCAGCAGCCGCGGUAAUACGAAGGGGGCUAGCGUUGCUCGGAAUUACUGGGCUUAAAGGGCGCGUAGGCGGACAGCUUAGUCAGAGGUGAAAGCCCAGGGCUCAACCUUGGAAUUGCCUUUGAUACUGGCUGUCUUGAGUUUGGGAGAGGUGAGUGGAACUCCGAGUGUAGAGGUGAAAUUCGUAGAUAUUCGGAAGAACACCAGUGGCGAAGGCGACUCACUGGCCCAAUACUGACGCUGAGGCGCGAAAGCGUGGGGAGCAAACAGGAUUAGAAACCCGUGUAGUCC